UUGAACGCUGGCGGCGAUGCCUUACACAUGCAAGUCGAACGGCAGCACGGGAGCAAUCCUGGUGGCGAGUGGGCGAACGGGUGAGUAAUAUAUCGGAACGUGCCCGGUCGUGGGGGAUAACGUAGCGAAAGCUACGCUAAUACGCAUACGAUCUACGGAUGAAAGCGGGGGAUCGCAAGACCUCGCGCGAUUGGAGCGGCCGAUAUCAGAUUAGGUAGUUGGUGAGGUAAAGGCUCACCAAGCCGACGAUCUGUAGCUGGUCUGAGAGGACGACCAGCCACACUGGGACUGAGACACGGCCCAGACUCCUACGGGAGGCAGCAGUGGGGAAUUUUGGACAAUGGGCGCAAGCCUGAUCCAGCAAUGCCGCGUGCAGGAUGAAGGCCUUCGGGUUGUAAACUGCUUUGUACGGAACGAAACGGUGAGCUCUAAUACAGUUUGCUAAUGACGGUACCGUAAGAAUAAGCACCGGCUAACUACGUG
rnacentral:rRNA from 1 species